GGGGCCCUUUCUACCUAGUACCCUCCCCUGGACUGGUAUUACAGCCGAGACAGACAGGGGCCCUUUCUACCUAGUACCCUCCCUGGACUGGUAUUACAGCUGAGACAGACAGGGGACCCUUUCUACCUAGUACCCUCCCCUGGACUGGUAUUACAGCUGAGACAGACAGGGGGCCCUUUCUACCUAGUACCCUCCCCUGGACUGGUAUUACAGCUGAGACAGACAGGGGACCCUUUCUACCUAGUACCCUCCCUGGACUGGUAUUACAGCCGAGACAGACAGGGGACCCUUUCUACCUAGUACCCUCCCUGGACUGGUAUUACAGCUGAGACAGACAGGGGCCCUUUCUACCUAGUACCCUCCCCUGGACUGGUAUUACAGCCGAGACAGACAGGGGGCCCUUUCUACCUAGUACCCUCCCUGGACUGGUAUUACAGCCGAGACAGACAGGGGACCCUUUCUACCUAGUACCCUCCCCUGGACUGGUAUUACAGCUGAGACAGACAGGGGCCCUUUCUACCUAGUACCCUCCCCUGGACUGGUAUUACAGCGAGACAGACAGGGGCCCUUUCUACCUAGUGCCCUCCCUGGACUGGUAUUACAGCUGAGACAGGGGCCCUUUCUACCUAGUACCCUCCCCUGGACUGGUAUUACAGCCGAGACAGACAGGGGCCCUUUCUACCUAGUACCCUCCCCUGGACUGGUAUUACAGCUGAGACAGACAGGGGGCCCUUUCUACCUAGUACCCUCCCCUGGACUGGUAUUACAGCCGAGACAGACAGGGGACCCUUUCUACUCAGGCACAGGGAGGGGCAGCUCAGAACCUUUGUGGUCCUGAGUGAUUCUCUGCCACAACAACUAACAUGGAUUUAAAAAAGGAAAGUGUAACAAUGGUCCUUCUGUGUUAGUGGCUGAAAAUGUCAGGUCUUCCUCUUCUGAUGCUAUGAUGCCCAGUUCUGUCUGUGUGUAGUCUGGUGCUGGGAGGUUACUAGGCUUCACAGACAACAGUCUGGUGCUGUGAGGUUACUAGGCUUCACAGACAACAGUCUGGUGCUGUGAGGUUACUAGGCUUCACAGACAACAGUCUGGUGCUGGGAGGUUACUAGGCUUCACAGACAACAGUCUGGUGCUGGGAGGUUACUAGGCUUCACAGACAACAGUCUGGUGCUCUGAGGUUACUAGGCUUCACAGACAACAGUCUGGUGCUGUGAGGUUACUAGGCUUCACAGACAACAGUCUGGUGCUCUGAGGUUACUAGGCUUCACAGACAACAGUCUGGUGCAGGGAGGUUACUAGGCUUCACAGACAACAGUCUGGUGCUGGGAGGUUACUAGGCUUCACAGACAACAGUCUGGUGCUGGGAGGUUACUAGGCUUCACAGACAACAGUCAGACUUCCUGUCUGUAAGCGUCCCCAUGUUCAGAAUUAUAUUUGUAUUAUUCUCACUAGUCUUUAUUUACACAUUUAAUAUUUCUUGGGAGCUGCUUGUGUCUGGAUGGUGUGCUAACCUGUUUGACAUUAUAAUAAUGUAAUAUAAUUUAUAUCGUUUGUAUUAUUCUAACAUAAUAUUGUGGGUCUUUUUUAUUCUGUAAUUUCUUCCUGGGGGUUUUAUAGGAUCGGGGGGGGGGUGUAUAUUAACACCAGUCUAAACCAGCUUCACCUGGAGCUGCUAUGGGACAAUAAAAUGGAUCACUUUCA